rnacentral:rRNA from 1 species
AGAGUUUGAUCCUGGCUCAGAACGAACGCUGGCGGCGUGCUUAACACAUGCAAGUCGAACGCGAAAGGGACUUCGGUCCUGAGUAGAGUGGCGCACGGGUGAGUAACGCGUAGAUAAUCUGUCCUUGUGUCUGGAAUAAUACGUCGAAAGGUGUACUAAUACCGGAUAUUCUUGCUUUUCAUAAGUUAGGUAAGCAAAGGUGGCCUCUGACAUAAGCUACUGCACAAGGAGGAGUCUGCGUACCAUUAGCUAGUAGGUGGGGUAAUGGCCUACCUAGGCUUCGAUGGUUAACGGGUCUGAGAGGAUGAUCCGUCACACUGGCACUGGAACACGGGCCAGACUCCUACGGGAGGCAGCAGUGAGGAAUAUUGCGCAAUGGGGGCAACCCUGACGCAGCGACGCCGCGUGAGUGAGGAAGGCCUUCGGGUCGUAAAGCUCUGUCAAAGGGAAAGAAGUGCAUGUUGGUUAAUACCCAUCAUGUUUGACGGUACCCUUAAAGGAAGCACCGGCUAACUCCGUGCCAGCAGCCGCGGUAAUACGGAGGGUGCAAGCGUUGUUCGGAAUCACUGGGCGUAAAGGGCGCGUAGGCGGUUUGAUAAGUCAGAUGUGAAAGCCCACGGCUUAACCGUGGAAGUGCAUUUGAUACUGUUAGACUUGAGUACCAGAGGGGAAAGUGGAAUUCCCGGUGUAGAGGUGAAAUUCGUAGAUAUGUGGAGGAAUACCGAUGGCGAAGGCAGCCCCCUGGGUUAACACUGACGCUCAUGUACGAAAGCGUGGGGAGCAAACAGGAUUAGAUACCCUGGUAGUCC